UUCCUGGGGGUCGAGCGUACUGUGCAGACUCAAACUGAGCUUAAUGCCGUAGAUGUGACGUGAGCAACCUGUCUGACAAUUGUAAGUCUUCUAAUAGCUGUGCCAAGAGAAAUCUGAAUCACCCACCGAAUCAUGCAGAGCCGGCGAGCGUGAACAGGAGCAAAUUUUGGAGACACUUUGACAAGUGGGCACUGGUUGCUGAGUAUUGAAGGCGAGGUUGUGUGUGAGGGCAUUCAGCCCAGUUUCCUGUCCGGCCUUGCCACUCUGAGUACCAGGAGGAAGCAGUGUGUACCUUGGAGUUCAUUCAAAGGUGCUUUGUGGGCAUUAAUCCGGAGAGAGGAUCCAAAGCAAAGGGAAACGUGCCAUCGAAAAAAACAGGACAAAUUAUACAGAAGAAAUAGGGCUGGGUGAUAUAUCGCAUGCGAUUGUCAUGCGAAUUUCGUCAGUAAAGCCGGUUCCCUGAUUAGCG
ensembl:lncRNA